rnacentral:lncRNA from 1 species
UGGAGAUAAUAACAACAUAUCUGGAUGCCUACCUGUGCAAUUUACUCUAGGGGAUCUGCUUUAGCAAAUGGUUUGGAUUUGGUGAAUUCUAGAGGUCCAACCCCUACAAUUCUGUGAUACGUUACUGCUGUUAAAGUUAUCUAGUUACCUCAGUUACAAGUGUCUGGGUUAUGACAGUAACAGCAAGUGAGUCCUGUAUUUCCAUUCCUGUGUGCUCUAGCAUUCAAAGAAGUAACUCAAAUUUCAACAUGAGCAGUUCAUGAGUUAAGAAAGGACGAACCCCAGUCUUGAUGCUCAAGGUUUCCACCUGCAGUGCCAGAGCAGACAUCAUCUUGUUAUGUUUACUUUCCAGCACAGAUGAUCCAGCAAUCUGCGUCAGCACUUGACUUAAUUGCAAGAGAACAGUAAUGCUGCUGAUGCAGCAUUUCCAGAUCCGUCAGAGGAAUACUGAAGCGGUUUUCAGAAGAUAAUUUAAAAAGUACCCAGUUGACAGGAUGUUUCUUCAGGGAACCAUUGAUCGCAUUCUCAACUUGCAGCAGAACCAGAGACAGUCUUCAUUUUAAUUUCAAUAUCAGGAAUGCCUUAAGUGACGAUCACAGCUAACCCAUUUUAA